rnacentral:piRNA from 1 species
UAUAAACAACACUGCUGUAUGAGAUAGGCCA